rnacentral:misc_RNA from 1 species
GUACUCUUUAAAUGUCAUGCCCCUAAUAUUCUUUUGAAAUACACGUGGUUGAUUACUCUCUGAUUUAACUUCUCCUUCGCAGACAUCAGACUCCUCUUUAAAUGUGAUCCUUAAAUCUUUGGGUUGCUCCUUCACUUCUUUCACUACUCCAUUUACCUUGAACCCAUCAGAUUUGCCUUCAUUGAAUUCACAGUGCUCUGGAAAUAAAGGUAACUUACUUUCUGACUUCCCUUCUUGCUUAUAGGUAUCAGGCUCCUCUACCGUGAUCUCUUUUCCAGCCUCCUCCUUCACUCUAAUCUCCAAUUCCUUAGGCUUCUCCGCUCCGAUGAUCUGGG